rnacentral:rRNA from 1 species
UAGCAUAAUCAUUAGUUUUUUAAUUGAAGGCUAGAAUGAAUGGUUGGACAAGAAAUAAUCUGUCUUAAUUAAAGAUAUUGAAUUUAACUUUUGAGUGAAAAGGCUUAAAUGAUCUGAAGGGACGAUAAGACCCUAUAAAACUUUAUAUUUUUGAGUAGAAAUAAGUUUUAUUUAAAGGUUACUAUUUUAUAAUAUUUGGUUGGGGCGACAAGGAUAAAAGAAAAAAUAACUGUCUUUUUUUUUAACAAUUAUAUUUGGUUUAAUGAUCCUAAAAUGGAUUAAAGAUUAAGUUACUUUAGGGAUAACAGCGUAAUUUUCUUUAAGAGUUCUUAUCGACAGGAAAGCUUGCGACCUCGAUGUUGAAUUAAAAGUUCUUUAUAGAGUAGAGACUAUAAUAGAAGGUCUGUUCGACCUUUAAAAUUUUACAUGAUUUGAGUU